UACGGAGGGAGCUAGCGUUGUUCGGAAUUACUGGGCGUAAAGCGCACGUAGGCGGCUUUGUAAGUUAGAGGUGAAAGCCCGGGGCUCAACCCCGGAAUUGCCUUUAAGACUGCAUCGCUUGAAUCCAGGAGAGGUGAGUGGAAUUCCGAGUGUAGAGGUGAAGUUCGUAGAUAUUCGGAAGAACACCAGUGGCGAAGGCGGCUCACUGGACUGGUAUUGACGCUGAGGUGCGAAAGCGUGGGGAGCAAACAGG
rnacentral:rRNA from 1 species